AUGGAUGUGAAUAUUAUUCGGGGGAUACCACUCUGUACCAGAAACGUUGAGGAUUUCUGGAGCUGGAGCUAUGAGAGGAACGGGAUUUUUUCAGUUAAAUCGGCCUACAGAAUGCUAGUGGCAACACGUCAGAGGAGAGAAGCAUGGUUGGAAGGCUCAUCCGGAUCAUCUACAAGGUCAAAAGAGGAAGGAUGUUGGAAGAUGCUGUGGAAAACAAAGGUACCAGUGAAAGUCAGGCAAUUCUUAUGGCGUCUUGCGAAGCAAUCUAUACCGACAAAUGAUGUCCGGUCGUAUAGACAUAUGGCUGACAGCAGCGCGUGUGGUUUCUGUGGAUCACCAGAUUCGUGGCGACAUUCCCUCAUUGAGUGUACAGUGGCACGAUGUACAUGGGCACUGGGAGAUGAGGAGCUAGCGCAGAUGCUGGUUGCAACUUCCGAACCUGACGCAAAAAACUGGCUCUUCACUCUCAUGGAAUCAUGCUCACACACCAUCUUUAUUAAAAUCACGGUUCAUUCUUGA
rnacentral:rRNA from 1 species